UAUUUUCGUUGUCGGUCCGAACAUGGUAUAACACUAUCUUAUGCAAAUUCGCCUUGCUAGUGAUAAAUAUCUGUAAAGAAACAAAGCUCCUGUGUGGUGUAUUCAAUAUUCAUUUUUUGGUGAAUUCUUUGGACAAUUGUCAAUUGCCCACAGAAAUUAUCAGGAAUUGCGGAAAGAGAUAUCCAGCUUAUAGGCAGAGUCAGCAGCAUACGUGGCGAUUUUCGGGAAAAAGUUUUCGUAGCGUUUUUGAUGUUUUUUGGUUUUGUUGACAUCGUCUUCAACCUCUUCAUAGUGAUUUUUUAGCGACUUGAUGUGUUUUCUGCAGCGAUUUAAACUAUAAAUUUUGAUUUAUUACGAAUAUAUGAUAUAAAUGAA